rnacentral:lncRNA from 1 species
GUUGGUCAUUUCUUACAAAAGACCAGUUCAGAAUGGUAACAGGACCAGUGAGCAUUCCCUUCAUGGGACGUUUUGUCAUGCUUUGAGCCAUUGAAGACCAAAAGACUGUCAUAGCCUUGGGACGGCUGACAUCACCAUAGAUGAUAGGUGGUUUAACACAUCGUGACCCGUAAGAUUGUACCCACCCAUUGACAGUGAAGGCAAAACCAGACAAUUGCUCCCCAAAGUACUCAACCAUAUCAUUCCUCUGCAUCAGCAAGAUCCAGGAAAGAACAGCAAGGAAACUUGUAAGCCUUCUUUCAGAAAAGCUAUUUUAUACAAAAAUGGGAUUUGAAUAUCCAGAUUAUACAAAACCUCACCUCAGGCUCUCCAUGUACCAAAACAUCAAUGUCAAGCUCUUCCUGAAGCUUGACAACUUUGCUGAUCUCCUCCUUGAUAGCCUUGACAUAAUCAUCCUCGGAAAUCCUAAUAUUCCAGGAGAAGUACAGCUUAUAACUCACACAAAUUCAGGACUGAGUAAAAAUCACUCUCGACAGAACCAUAGGUGGCGCCAAAGAAAAUUGCUUACUUUUUGGCCUUGUAUUCCCUGCGUACUUUUCUAAGCUCCAUUGUCUGAGGGAAUGAGCCGAUGGUGGUGGUGGGAAGAAUUGGAAGGUUCAGUUUCUUCUGCUGAGCAUCUAGCCUGGCACUCACAUUUGUGGCCCGGCGGUGAUCAGAGCCCUUUAGAGCAGCAGCCUAAGAAAUACAUUUCCAUGAAUUAAUGGGAACUGUCACACUGGGCUUUCAGAAUCUCAGACUGUAAAAUAGUUGGGUUAAAUCACUCACAGCCUUUUGGACAGCCUCAUUUGUCACCCUCGGGGAUGACUUUCUCGAAGCUAGGGCGGCAGCAUUUGCAGAGAAAACAGUCUGAAGAUGCUCAGAAAACAACAAAUAAAGUGAGCUUAUAAUAAUGUGCCCCAACUUAUCCAAACCAAAAGAUUUAAUAUCUUGAAACAAAGGACAGAGCACAUACAGCAGGGUUGUUGCUUGGAAUGAAGGAAUAAUUAAAGUUUAUAACAAAACAACUAAAAUAUAUUUGAGUCCGAUAUUGCAGACAAAUACAUCCAAACAGUCACACAUAAAUAUCUUUACCAAAAAAACAGUCACACAUAAAUACUUAACAUUGUAUAUGCCCUUCCUUUCUGGAAAUUAAUCAAUUUGGAAAGAAAAUAAAAUGUUCAUAAACAAUCUCAGCAUCUGCCAGUACCUCAUCCUUCAGUCCAAAUAAUGCCUGGGCCAAGGCAUUUACUUCAACAACUUUUUGAGCAGCAAAUGCAAGCCAUGACUUGAUCUCUUUAUCCAAUUUAGUUUCAUUUACUAGGUCCACGGCAGUGUGAAGAAGAGAACAGGAUGUUGAAACAACGACCUUAUCUGACAGGUCAUACACAAAGCGUUAGUCACUUUGCAAAUAGAUUUCAAGUUCAUGCAGAAUUCUAUAACUGUGCUAUGAUAUAUACAUACCUUUUCCAACGACGCCCUCAAGGGCCUGCAGGGUUUUGAGAGAUGAAUCCAGAUCGUUAGCCCAAAUGUUUCUUCCAUCUACUACUCCAGCAAAAAGAUAUUUUCCAGAAGGAAAUCCACCUUUAACCAAAUCUAGGGUCUUCGUUCCACGAACUAGGUCAAAUCCAAAGCCUGCAAUGCCUUUCAAAGAGGUGAGUGUCUUGUACGCCUCUGCAGGCACGUCAGCAAAGUAUGUCUCGAUAAGAAUACUCAGGCCAGACAGGGAUGACUCUAGCUCUGAGUAGGCAUGAGUAAAUGCUUGCAAUUGGUGAGAAUCGAGAUCCUUCACAAGAGUUGGCUCAUCAAACUGUAUCCAGGUGGCACCUGCUGCCUUCAGUUCAGCAAUAACCUCCCUGCAUAGACAAAAUUUAGUUGACGCGACAUCAGAAAAUUCACUAUCAAUGAACCACAGGUCAGGAAACUAUUUCAGAGAGGCUCAGCCCCCUACUUGUAGAUUGGAACAAUCUUUCCAAUGAGGGAGAGAAGAGAAAAGGAUUUCUCAACACCCUUGGCAGGUUUGGAAAGCAACAAGUAGGAAACAGGGCCAACAAGGACUGGAACCGUAUCAACUCCAAGCUGCAUCAGAGAGAAAAUUAAGAGCUUCAGGAAACCAGGGAGAAAUUCUCUCAGAGAGAGAGAGAGAGAGAGAGCAACAGUAAAGUGAUAAGCUGAUUUAGCACACUUACAGCUCUGGCCUCCUUGAACUCAUCAACUGCCUUAUGAGAUGCAUAAGAGAACUUAACAUCUGGUCCUAGCUCAGGGACAAUAUAGUGGCUGUAAAUAACAAAACAAAAACAUUAUAACCAUUCCACAGACACAGCAACAUGAGAAUGAGGAUAUACUGGGAAUAUGGUCACAAUGUGAGCAGAGAACUCACUAGUUGGUGUCGAACCACUUGGUCAUUUCCAUAGCUGGGACAGAGGCAUUACCCCUCGCCAUGGAGAAGUAGGUGUCAAAUUCAAUCUCACCCCCAUUCCAGCCAUAUCUGGGAGGAACAGCACCCAGCAUAGCUGUGGUAUCUAACACCUGAUCAUAGUAAGAGAAAGUAUUGCUGGGAAUGUAUUUGAUUCCGGCAGAAGCCAUCUGCUUCCAUAUCGAUGCCCUCAGGUCAGCUGCCACCUUCUGCAACUCCUCAGCACUGCUCUUCCUAUCCCAGAAAGACUCCAGCGCGAACUUCAGCUCUCUCUUGGGCCCCAUGCGAGGAUAGCCAACGAUGUGGGACGCCAUAGCUCUGUUUCAUAACAUUCCGCAGAUAUCAUUUCCGUGAAGAAACAUAAUUGAAAAGGUGGAUGCACCAUGCUACAGUCAACCACUUAAAUAUCCUUCCACUAUAAAGAAACAUCACAUAAUCAUAAACUCCGAAUCCAUCUAUCUGUCCUCCCAUCAAGUUGCGUAUCAAUCCGACACACCUCCAGCACAGGACGACAGACCAGACUCAAGGUUAAUCUACAUAAUUACAAAACUGAAAACGCUAGCCAAGUCUCAGCGAAAUUACGGCAAACACCUUGUCUCCGCCAUCUUGCGUGGGAGAGGGAGAUCAAAUAAAAAUUACCCGGACUUCGACCCGACUUCCGUUUCAAUCCUUGUAAUCGGGAACACACCGACCAGCGGACAAUCAUCCCCAAAAACGACCUAAAGAAACCAUACCCUCCGAAACGAAACCUCGAGCACAGACUCCCCCGGGCACACUCAUCCAUCGAGAGCGUUCGAACCCAGCACAAAUGCAACGAUCAACUACUUCAGGCUUCACCUUACUCUUCAUCCCUCAAACACUUAAAAGCCCCAAAAAAAGGAAAAAAUUAAAAAUUAAAAAAAAACCGCCAAUCGAGCACCUCAAGCACCGCGACUUCGGAUCCUAUUAAAUCCUAUCGGAGUCCCUUUUUUUUUUUCUUUUUUUCCUUUACAUCAUCGGAACGACUCGACCGCACCAGUCGGAUCUAUCAUAGCGGGAAGCAAUCGCAAGCGGCUCCGUCCAUCGCCGAGGCGGGGACCGGGACGGCGAGGGGCGCGCGCGUACCUGACCGGAGGCGGACGGAGAGCGAAGCGGAGGACGGAGAGGCGGCGGCGGCGGGUGCCGGUGCCGGUGCCGGUGCCGGUGCUGAUGCGGGCGGGAGAGUGGCGGAAGUGGAGAGAGUCAACUGAAAUGAGGCGGAGAGAUUGGAUGGACGGCGCGCGGGAGUGGAGAGAGACUUGGCCCAUCUAUUUAUAGAACCGCAAAUCCGCACGCCCGCACGGCUCUUCUUCUUCCUCCCUUGCCCGGAUCCGAACCUGACUGUGGUGGUUGGAACUUGGAUAUACUCUUUCGGGUGCGAUUUUUUUAUUAAUGAAUAAUGACGUAAAUGUGUUUAAAUUUCGACUUAAUGUCAAAUGUGAUUUUUGAAUUUUAGCCAAACAUAGAAGUUCACCAUUGACCUUUUAAUUUAUUCAAUGUAGUCUUGAAUUUUUUUAUACAUAUUCAAUUUAAUAUAAUAUGUUGAAUAUUUUUAUACAAUCGAUGCACUAAAUUAAAAUAUAUACCAAAAAUUUAAGGAGUGCGUUAUACAAAUUAAAAGUUCGUAGUUUACUGACAAGUUUAAAAAACAUUUAUGUUAUAUACUCUUUUUAAAAAAAAUAUUAAUUAAUUUAGUUGUUUAUUUUUGUCUUUUGGUGAUUUUUUCAUUUUCCUUUUGGCCUCACAAAAAUUGUUUAAAGCAGUUUAUGCACUUCAAAACUAUUCGAGGGGAAAGUAAAUAUCUUGAAGCUUUCAUUCUAGAGAAUGAGAUUCCAAUUCAUGCGCAAUUCAACCUCUUGAUGAUAUCAGUCCAAAAGAACAACUCUAGAGAAUGAGAUUCCAAUUCAUGCCCUGAUAUCAAUCCGAAAGAAUAACUCUUUGCAAAUCCUCAAAUCCUGACACACGUACGACAAGCUUGUAUAUAUAUGCGUCGAUGCAAGUUUGCUUGAAAGUUGACCUGAUCGUCAUAUAUAUUUUUAUCAUGACUCGAAAUUUUAUAUGUAAGGGGGCUAUGCUCCGAGUAGAACUCAACAAAUGCAAGUAUUUACCUCUAAUAUGACUUAUCUUAUUGAGAUCAAUUUUUAACAUCCAGCUUAGUUCUUACUUUAGACAUAAGGCCUUUUGUCCUUAAUUUCUUAUGCACAAGAUCCUUACGAAGAUGAUUACAGAGCAUGCCAUCGGAAUAAAGUGCUAUCUUACCAGCAUGAAUAGAUUCAUAUUUUGGAAAUGCGUAGAUCUUGAGUGUUGAUAUUAGAAAAAUCAUGUCUUUCUAUGAAACGAAUUUUGACGUGGUGGGAGGCAGCAUCAAUGGUGCCUUAAGAGGGCAGACGGGAGAGAGAGAGAGAGAGCGGCAAGAAGUGACCGGAGAGGCAACGACGAUGCCGAUGGUGGUUGGGGGCUGUGGGUAGGCGCGGCAGCGGUUGGUGCCCUGGUGGCAGGUGAAGUUGAUGGUACUUGCAAUUAUCAUAAUAACAAAAAAAUAUAGAUCAUAGAUUGUGAAAAUGGUAGUGGAAUUCUGAUAGUGCAAUCAUUCAAAUACGGUAGAAUUUACAUGAUGAUGCAAAUAUUACUCCAAAGAUCACUGGGAAUUCAAGUAAAAUCUGAUCGGGUCAGUCAAUGAUGUAGAUAUUGUAGAGGAGCUACCCGUGUCUACAUCUCCAGUAUCUACAUCAUUGACUGACCUACCACCGAGAGAUGAUUCAGCAUCAUCUGAAAUGAGGCCUCUCUCUUACCUAAAAUCAAAACCUAUGACAAUUUUCUUUUAUAGCAGUCCCUGCUAGUGUCCAGAUCAACUUUCGUGCACCCAAAACAAUCUUAAGGAUGCACUUCCCAAAUAUGAUAUAUUCAGAAUCUCUCAUUGAGUAAAGGCUGGAACCCCAAAAAAACGCAAGUAAACUACCUCACCAUCCAAAUCAACACCUUCAAGCAUGACAGGUCCAUCGCAUUAAAUAUUACUAUGUUUAAAUUUAUCAGCUUAUGAUACUUUUGAAGUCACUUUUAACAUUAAAAAGUUGCUAAGAAAGUCACUAAUUACUUGUCCAUAUUACUAACGAGUAAUUUUUAACUUAAAGUUGCAAGAAACCGCGACAGAAGUACUAUUCUUUGAUAGGAGAAAACUCGCUUUCUAAUAAAUAAAGUUUCUGGUCAAUGUGAAAGGCAGAUUUCCAAUCAUCCACGUUUAAACUGCGCCACCAACUUUUAGCAGUUUUAGAAUAACUUUACUUUUCUUUUUUUGCCGUUAAGAAAUUACUUUUACCUCUUAAAAGUAACAAAACGUGUAACAAAAUCACUAAUACUCGACAUGGGAAAACUUCUUUCUUGUGAAAGAAUAGUUUACCAACUAAUGUUAAAGUCCUUUCUCCUGUAAUAUAUAGAAACUUGCUUUUUCAUAGGAAAAGUUACUAAUCAGGUUAGUAGGACAGACGGCAUGCUAAAACUGGCCCUUCACAUCUACCCAUCACCACGACAUCUCGCAUUUUUGUGAUGCAACUAAAGCACAUGCGAUGACUGGACUCUACUAAUUCAAGAAAAUCUUAAAGACUUCAAAUCACCAUUCAAAUGUCAAUUCGACCGCAUGACUUUGUUCCUUUUAUUCAAAGUAUAUAUAUAACUGUGUAUAAGCAAGUGUUCAUCAGAUGACUUGUUACUAAGAAACUGUCCACCGACCAUCCACGUAUCACGGAACUUGCUCACUACAGAGGCCAUAAGCAUGAUAAUUCUCUAGGUAAGCUAACACUUUGCCUCCCAGUAGACACAAGACAGAUAGUUGUAAUAAUUUACAAGAAUGAAACUUCACCUCAAAUAUCAUCAGUGGCAACACGAACAACCACAUUCUGUUUCACUGCCAGAGGCCGACUUAUAACUACGUUCCCAGGUGUCCGUGGGCACUGCUUGAGCACGAGGGACAUGAUGAGGAUGCUUCUCUCUCUUGUCUCCCUUGAUUUGCUUCAAGGCGUGCUUGAGGGCAGGCAACAAAGCAUCCAUGCAUUCCGCAACAGCAUUUGGAUUGCCGGGCAUGUUAAUGAUCUGUGUAUUUUUGGCAUCACAAUUCACAAUGUGCAGAAAUCAAGGAAGUGAAGCAUCUUCAUAUUUCUAAUAGUGAAGCAUCUUCAUAUUUCUAAUCCCCCGCGUGUUCGACAAUAUCAGAAUGCUUCCACAAAUAUCAUAUGAAAACAGAGAUAUACAAGAUGAGCUAUUAUAUAAUCGGGGCAUCUCUAUAUUAAAAUAAUAAAAAUAUGUCAGUGAAUUGGAAAUUUUUAGUGGAUCAUCCUUAGGACUUAAAAAGCAGGUGAAAUAUAUGUUGCUAUGUUUUAAAGGAAAUUCAUACUGUUUGGAAGGAGAAUUGGCCGAUGCAGCAAUUUCAGACAGUUAAUUAAUCAACACAACUUCAGUUCAACUAAUUUAAAAAGGGUAACUUUCCAACAAAUUAAACAAUAGAACACUUUAAGAAAAAUCUGUAUCCAGAAAACUGCUCUUUUCAUCUUUGGAAGUGCAGCUAUUAAAAGAAGUGCAAAAACCAAAGUCGCCGAGUUCAGAAGCAGUUUAAGACUUCAAAAGCUAUCCGAAUGCUGGUUUGCCAAUUUUCCACAAUUUAAAGCUCAACAACAAGUGGGAGCAAUUUGCUAUUCUAAUGUUUUUACAGUUGGUUACUUUGUGGAAGGUCCCUAACAGAGGUUUUGACUUUUAACUGUGCAGUCAAAUAAAUGACUUCCCAGAUAUAAAAGCCACUAAGAUUUUUUAUUUCGUUGCACAUUAACAUCAGUUAUGGAGGAAAAUAUUUGUAGCAUUUCCAAUGAAGAGCCUCUUAUUCCAGCAGCAGCACGGGAGAGCAUCGCAAAAGGUGUCACCUACACAAAUUAAGGACAACCAAGUUCAGUAAAUUAAGGUAAGUAGAUCGACAUAAUCUCAGUACAGAAAAAGUUAACUUUGACACUGAAUAUUUUCAAUAAUAACAUAAGCAAAAGCAAUUUUUUACUGAUAUCUCCUAAAUUAAACAGCAGUUGCUCAAGGCUAGUAUGAGUCCCUUCCUAUUGGUCAGCCACUUCCUUUCACCCAGACAGAGAUUUGACAGUGAACUUCAAAGAGUACAUCAACUUUCUUACUCAUGAUAUUAAUAUCGUGAAAUAAAUCAAUAAAGUCAUUACUUAAUAAUAUUAAUGCAUAUCCUAAACAGAAAUGGUGAAAUAAACAAAAAAGAAUGUAUUCAUCUAAGGAGGACAUCAACUCUUGGCCAAAAAGGAGUAAAUGUCAACUGCAACUAUCCCUUAAAUCCCUGACAGAAAACUUCAUGUUGGACGUCUUGCACCAAGCUGGCACUCGUCAGGGCAUAUAGACAGAACUAGGGAGUUACUUUCAAACUUUCCUGCAUCAUUACAUAGAGUAAACCCGGGGUUUCUUUUUCAAUCAACUCUUUUGUUGCUUCAGGAGUCACAUCCCUAGGAGUGAAGCCAGUGCCACCUUAAAGAACAAAUGGCAGAGGAGGAGAAACAGAAGAAAUCAACAGAGGAUGAGCAAAAACACAAGGAAGUCGAAGAAGAGAGCAAGAAAGCAGACGAAGCGAAAUAUGGACCGGAAACGCCUUUACAGAAGAAGAAGAGCGAAGAUUUGGCUCAACUGAAGAGGAUCAGAAGGGGGCGAAACUGCAGAUAUAGGCAAGAGGAUGGAAAAAGCGGGAACAUCGGACGCCGGCAACAUUGGUAAGCCCAGAGCCAAGAUUUACAAGGAAAACGUUGGGAGUUACGUCACGAAUCAAAAGAAGCUAAGGAAUUUGAUGAACACCAUGGUGGCAGCUCUGCUAAUUCUGGUGCUUGGCCUGUACGUGAAGCACGUACUCAGGUCUCUUGGAACACCCAAAUCCGACCCAGAACUUUAAGCUCGCCAAAACGAUUUGUUGCUCCACAGUUCAUACAGCAUUAAAUGUAAUUCUAAGUGUGACCAGUGAAUAAUGUGCAUUCUACAUAUUAUAAAUAAUUAACUGAUAUUCUUUCUAUCUAAGAUUUUGGUACAUAUGAACCAGUUCACAAUUCACGGCCAAACUUCGCUCUUGACAUAUGAUAAAUUCCCUUUAUUGUUAUUUUUUUUAAAGGGGUUGGGGCCGUCAGAAAGAACGAUAAAUCCAGAGUACAGAGAAAUAGAGAGAAAACCUACUCCAGUACAAGUACGAGUACUCUGUAUACAUGACCAACUUGUGAAACAUGAAAAAAAACAAAGACAAAAAUGUGGAAUGUUCAUCUCCCUAAAAAGGGGAGGGAGGGGGAGCCACUUAUUUGAGCUUUCGACGGAACCUUCACAUCACAAGGAUCACUAACAUCUCAUAAUUACCUAGUAAACUCACUUAGCACUGGCUAGCUGGGUGCGGAGGAGCUUGGCGGCAGCAACCAUGUUGCUCAAAGCAGGCUUAACUUCAGAGUAUUUGCGGGUUUUGAGGCCACAAUCGGGGUUGACCCAAAGAAUGUUGCUCUCAAGGACCGCAAGCAUCUUGUUAAUUCUAUCAGCAAUUUCUUCUGUGGAUGGAAUUCUGGGCGAAUGAAUGUCAUAGACACCCGGACCAAUGCCAGCACCAUAUUUCACUCCUUCACGGAAAACUGAGAGCAGCUUCUCAUCUGAUCUGGAGUUCUCAAUGGUGAUCACAUCAGAAUCCAUGUUGAUUAUCGAGUGGAUGAUGUCAUUGAAAUUUGAAUAGCACAUGUGAGUAUGGAUCUGCAAAUCAAAUCAGAUAGCUGUUCGGUACUAAAGGGAUGCUGUCUUUGCUAUCUUUUCCAUUAAAUCAUAAGGCAGGAACUAAAGGCUUGAUUCCCUCCAUAUUUCCUUAUUAUAAGUUCAUGCAGUGAAUAACUAAGAAGAAGAUAGCAAGAUAAAUAACACUCUUUACUCAGAAAACAAAUGUGCUCUCAAUUGUAAAGAAAUCUACUAAUCAGUUCGGCAGCAGUUAUUCCUAAAUCUACAGAUGCAUUUUUAACAUUUUGCAAGUGGGGACAAAUUCAGUCACCAAUUUAAUAGAACUAGAAAUUAUUCCUAAGCUCUCAUUCAUCACAAGAAAGAAAGAAUGAAUGGGAUUAUUAUAAUUGACCUUUUGGGAUCUGUCAUCAAUUAUCAAGAAAGGAAUGGAAAGUUAACCUGGGUAGUAUCUUUAACACCACAAUUAGUGAUCCUGAAUGAGUGAACAGCCCAGUCAAGAUAGAAAGCCUGCUCAGACUUCCUAAGAGGCAAACCCUCUCUUAAAGCAGCCUCGUCAAUUUGAAUAACAGUGACACCGGCUUUCUCAAGAUCCUCAACCUCAUCCUUAAUUGCCAGAGCAAUUUGAUAGCAGGUUUCAAAUCUGCAAGAGCCAGGUAUCUUUGAGCAACAAAGGAAACAAGAAGAGAAGCCCACUAAGUAGCAGGUUGAAAAAGAUUUUGCUUCCUUUCUUUUCUCUCUCCUCUCCUCUUCCUUUUGUUCACCUUGGUUGGUCAUUUCUUACGAAAGACCAGUUCAGAAUGGUAACAGGACCAGUAAGCAUUCCCUUCAUAGGACGUUUUGUCAUGCUUUGAGCCAUUGAAGACCAAAAGACUGUCAUAGCCUUGGGACGGCUGACAUCACCAUAGAUAAUAGGUGGUUUAACACAUCGUGACCCGUAAGAUUGUACCCACCCAUUGACAGUGAAGGCAAAACCAGACAAUUGCUCACCAAAGUACUCAACCAUAUCAUUCCU